rfam:Aspergillus kawachii IFO 4308 DNA, contig: scaffold00019.
GGUGCUGUAGUGUAGUGGUCAUCAUGAAACGUUGUGGUUUUCCCGCAGCGCCGUUUCGACCUGGGUUCGAUUCCCAGCAGCGCCA